rnacentral:rRNA from 1 species
GAUGAACGCUGGCGGCGUGCCUAAUACAUGCAAGUCGAGCGGACGGACGAGAAGCUUGCUUCUCUGAUGUUAGCGGCGGACGGGUGAGUAACACGUGGAUAACCUACCUAUAAGACUGGGAUAACUUCGGGAAACCGGAGCUAAUACCGGAUAAUAUUUUGAACCGCAUGGUUCAAAAGUGAAAGACGGUCUUGCUGUCACUUAUAGAUGGAUCCGCGCUGCAUCAGCUAGUUGGUAAGGUAACGGCUUACCAAGGCAACGAUGCAUAGCCGACCUGAGAGGGUGAUCGGCCACACUGGAACUGAGACACGGUCCAGACUCCUACGGGAGGCAGCAGUAGGGAAUCUUCCGCAAUGGGCGAAAGCCUGACGGAGCAACGCCGCGUGAGUGAUGAAGGUCUUCGGAUCGUAAAACUCUGUUAUUAGGGAAGAACAUAUGUGUAAGUAACUGUGCACAUCUUGACGGUACCUAAUCAGAAAGCCACGGCUAACUACGUG